CGGUUUUGAUGACUGUUACUUUGUAGUAUAGUCUUAAGUCCAGGAGCCUGAUUCCUCUAGUUCCAUUUUUCUUUUUCAGGAUGUCUUUGGCUAUUCUGGGUCUUUUGUGCUUCCAAACAAACUUUAAAAUAUAUUUGUGCCAUAUCUUAUUUUCUACAUGUAAGUGAUAUCAAUGGUACAUGUAUACAAUGAAAUACUUCUCAGCCCUAAAAAGAGUUAAAUAAUGCCAUGCACAACAACAUGGAUGCAACUAGAGAUUGUCAUACUAAGGUGAAUUUUCUAAAUUAUAGAAUUGUUUAAUUUCAAAAAUCUCACCAGGAAAUUAUAUUAGAAACUUAGGACUCUUAUGAACAAGGCCUCGGUAAAUUCCUAGGAAGUAACAGUGGGUAGAAAGUGUGGCCUGAGAACCUGAUAUGUAAGUAUUUAUCUCUUCAAUAAUAUCCUUUCUUUUCACUACAAUUUAAGUUGUAUGAGAGCAUAGUUUUGUUUUAUUUACAAUGCAAUCCCACAACUGAAAAAGUGAACAUAGGCAGUAUUCAAUAAAUAUUUUUUUGUGAACAAAAUAAUAUUUAGAAAAAAAUUGGCUUCCUGGAAAACAUACAUCUCUAUGUGAGUUUACCUCAUCAUUCCUCACAAAAGAACUUUCAAAUUCAUUGGGCUUGGCCAGACUGCAAUCCCUAUGUGUAUAAGACAGAAGGCAAAAGCCUUACAAUAAUGAUAAUUGUUAUUAUUUAAUACUCUGUCUUUAUUUUCAGUCAAUACACAGAGGAAAUGGAUUAUGCAUUUUUGGUGAGCUUUCAAUUAUAUAUAGUAGAUAGUAAAUAUGAGAUAUGCAUAUGUUAAAGAAUUAAGACUAUUUUGACUUCCCCUGACACCUAUUUUCAGGUUUAGCUGAAAGUCUCUUUGUGACCAGGGUAUUGAAUAAUGAAAUACAUGAUUAAACAAAACUUAAGGAGUUUGUUUUCUAUUGUGGAAAUCAUACUCCAUAAAAAUCAUGCUCACACACUUUCAGAUCGAGUUUUGUUCAUAUAGCCCAUGCUGUGUGUGUGUGUGUGUGUGUGUGUUUGUGAGAAAGAGAGAGAGAGGGGGAGAGGGGGAGAGAAGGCACUAGAAGUAUCUCCAGAUGGCUAAGCUACUUUUGGGAGACUAGUUGUGUUGGACAUCCCACUUUGAACAAAGAGGGUUAUUGUCCAUCCCCUCUUAAAAUAUUACCUUUGUCAUCCUGAAAUUAAUCUUAGACUUCUUCUUUUGAAAACGUCCUUAGGGAUCAUUCUUGAAAUGAAAAUUCAUUUCCUCCAUGCUGAAUAAGUGGUCAUCUCACAAAUUCCGGGAUGAGAACAUUUUAAAAGGAGAAAUUCAAGGUUUGCAUGUUAAAUGUGAAACAGCAGCCAAAGCAAAGAGAUACUAGAAUCCAGAAAGAAUAAAGGGCAAUUGACUUUUAGAAAAUUUGAAAAAGAGAAAUGAUACCAAGUCUGAUACCAAGUUGAUCAGUGUCAGGAAACAUAACCUUUUACAUGAAAGUAAAUCGACCAACCCCCCUCCUCUCCACCUGUGUCUCUUUCACAGUCCAAUUAAAAUCACGUUUUCUUUGAACACACAGAAAAAAGAAGGAAGCGUCUGGGCACGUAAGAGACAUCAGUCGUCUGGCUCUGCCGACAGGUGCAUUUGUCAUGCCUUGGGGAGCGAUGACGCUGCUUUCACUUUAUUAAUUGAGAAGAUUAUAUACCUAUGAUAGCCACGUUUUCACAUUCCCUUUCUUGGAUGGGGGGCAGAGGAGAAAAGUGGGCAUUCUAUGGUUAAGCAGGAAAAAUAAAACCUUUUUUUUUCAGUUUUAUUGCAUUCUAAUUAAGCAUGAGGGGAGUGAGAGGUCCUACAGCAAUGCAGCAGGCUCGAAACACUGACAAGGUCAAUUAUCUCCUGAUAAGCUCUGCACCAGCAAGGAUUAAUAAUAUGACUAAUAUUAAUUGAAUGUGAGUUCAUUGAGUUUUAUUUCUUAUUUUAAAGUUCUCCUGGCUGUUGUGAACGCCGUGGUGCACAGAGAAUGAUGGAUGGAAGUGAUGGAGUCACUAAUAAGCCCUUGGACCCCCAUGGCCUGCUGCACACACAGAGAAUAGAGGUUUGAUUCUCUUUUUUGGUUUCUGGCCACCACCAUCCUGGCAGGAAGUGAAAAGGGGCUAGUUUUAUAAUGUAAUUUGUUCCACAAAUAAAGAAAGUACAAGAGACUUCAGAUCUAUGAAUUCAGAAUUUCUCAAAUGAAAAUGAAAUGCUACUAACUGAUGAUGUCCUUAAGGUGAAGCAGAUCUAGCUGAUUUGCAUAGAACAACAACAAAAAGAUUGCAGAUCCUACUUUCUUAUAUGGGCUCCAUCAUCACAGGUGAGUGGUUUAUUAUAAAAAAAAUCUACAUAAUAGUUGCUUUAAUUUUGUGCUCCUUUGUUAUAGAAUUAGGACUGUAUGUCCAUAGAUAAGACUUUGAAUAAAUUGAAAAGCAGAGGCUAAGCAUGUACUGGUAUUGGAUGUUUUAAGUGGUUUUUCCUGACUUGGGAAUUGACAAGCUGCUAUUUUCAUCCAAUUUCUUCCUCAGACAUGACAUUGCUUUGAUAUCUAGAGAUAGCUGACCUCCACUCCAUGAAUUCAUGUUUCUUCUUUGCAGAGUUGAGAGGGGCUGUAAAAGGUUUCAGUACUCUAAAAAGCACUGACAAUAUAGUAUUUCCUUUUUGUUUUGGAAACAUUGAGUCUAUAAAGUGAUAUAGCACUUUAUUUUACUGAUCCUUUGUGCUUAAAAUGCAUUCAUUUUUUUAAAAACACUGUUAAAAUGAAUGCUACUUGUGGAAAUGAAAGUGAGAGAAACAAUGGAAGUAACUGUAAGCGCAACAAGUCACAUAGGACUGAAAAGUGAUUUGAGUACAGCUUGUUGAAGCCUCAGAGGAAUUAAAUUGCAUAUAUUUUAAACAUAAUGUCAACCCACAAUUUAACGCAUCUUUAAAUUAUUCCUCCCUGCCUCAGCUAAAUGUGAAACCUUCCUCCUCUGAACUCAAAGACCAAAAAUCUACUAACUUUAAUUUGGGCAUCAGAUUUGCUAUAUGUAUCUCUGUCAUAUUACAGUUCAAACCAUAUGUAAGUGUGAGUUUGACCUUUCAGGUGCGUGGUUUUAUCUACUCCACAGAUAAAUUCCUUGAAUAUGGGGCAAUUUCUUUAACAAUCUCAUAUGCUGCAGAGUACUAGGCAAAGUAGAGAAUGAACUAGGUGCUAAAUAUUUCAUUAGGUAAAUAAUGCUUCAACUUUUUCAGCAGGAGGACUAUGAUGAGGAAAUUAGUGAUAGGCAUAUGCAAUGAGUAUGUGGAGGUGUUUUUCUCCAGGUGUUCCUGGCAGAGAAUCACCUGGAUUUAGCAAAUAAUGAUCAUACUGGGAUGAGGGGUGGGAAUCAUAGGACAUGGUACCUAUUAUUGGAAACUGACCCAUCAUAUCAUAGAGGAGGGUUUGGGGGGAGGGAAUAAAUGAUUUUUACUGCAAAGAAAGGUGAGGAGACUCAUUAGUGGCAAAACAAAGCCAUAAGCCAGACACCUCCAGAGGCACCAGAAGUUCAGAGCAAUGAAAAAGAUUCUGGAGAGGUUAGUGCCAUCUGUAAGUUUACGUGUUGAUAGCUUAGGGGGGAAACAAUGACAAUUAUUCAGAAAUACUGAUGAGAAAGUUCAUAAUUAAGCAAAACAAGAUUUAAACAGAAUGUAAAUAGUUGGAGGUAUUGUUCUCUGUUUUGUUUUUUCCUGAUUUUCUUGUGAUCUACCAUUUAGCAUCAUCCAGGAAGAGUGUAAGAUCCAGGGCCUGAUGAUACAGUUUCUGAUACACAACCUGCCCAGUGAUUUUGUCUGCAUAUUUCCCUUCCUCUGUGAAUGGGGUUGGCAACUACACCCACCAAGAAGUGACAGCAGUCGAUAGCUAGAAUAUUAAAGUCUGAUGUGUGUGACUAGGGUUCAAUGAAAAUACAUCAGGAAAGAUGAAACCCUUCCAAUUCAGUUGCACAUAUUGCUCUGCAAUUUUCAAAACCAAAAUACCCUGAGUCUCUAUUGAAACACAUUGCAGUGUCCCAUCACCCGUGGCUUUCAGAAUGUGAUCUGACAUUGUUUUCUCCAUUUCCCAUUUUCUCAGUUAAAUGGGAAGCAUAUUUGUAAAUGAUAUUUAUUUUGCUGUGAGUAAGGUUUGGAUUCCUUUCUCCUUCAUAGAUGUGUGCUUUACCUCUGCCCUCUCUUAAUGUAUUUCUAUGAAGUACAUAAAAAUGGGGCUCCAAAUCCAGACAAGCAUCUUCCUAGUUAUCAUGAUGAAGACAGGGAUGGGAAAUGUAUGUUGCUAAAAUGACUUUUAACCAUUUUUUACAUAAUUAUCUCUAUUUAUCCAUAUAGAAUUUUCUACCUCCCCUCUCAUUCUAAUUCUGUUGGAUGAUAAGGAUCUUGUUGCGUGUAGGAGAAGGAUACUUGAUGAAGGAAGCAGAUAGUUCUACCUUUUCCUACAUCUUUUCCAUAGUUCUAGCACUUUCUCUUUACAUUUCUCCCCUCUAUAGUCCUGAAAAUGAGAUCUUUGGGCAGCAUGAGGUGGAAGACUCCUUAUGUGGUGGUAGGUGGAGCCUAGUCAACAUUGAAUGAUGCAUAAAGCAUUGACUUUGAAUAAUGUGUGCAACUUGACAUCUGUGUGCUUUGGGGUCAAUAACCUACAUUUUCUGAGCCUCAAUUACCAUCCUUAAAAUAAGAAUAUUAUAGAAUAUGAUAAUUCAAAGCAAUUAAAGGAAAUAAUCCAUGCAGAGCACCCAUUUCUAAGAAAAGUAAGAAACAGAUGUGGGGGGUCACUUAACUCAUCUGUCAUCUACAUUCCUUCAUAAUAAAAUUAAGAUAUUCAAAUAAUUAAUGCUGUACACUUUACUGGGCCUGGGCCUAAACAUUUGCUUCAUGGAGUAUUCAUUUCAAUCCUAGGAAGUUAUAUCAUGAAUGUUUCUGACAGAUUAGGAAACUGAAGCUUACCAAAAUAAAUUAGGUGCCCUAAAUUAGGCUGAAACUAUUUGAUUUCAGAGGGCUGCUCUCACUUGCAAGUUUUAUAGACAUAGCUAUCCUACCUAAUAGACAAUAAGACGUGUACUUUGGUGAAGCCUCUUAAGGAUGAGGGAGACAGAAUCAUGCCAUAUAAACAAUGACAUACUUUAAAAAUAUUGGCAAAUUUAUCUCAAAAUUAUGUAAAACCAUCUUAUGCAAAAGUGAGAGUUUACCUUCCAUGAAAAUAAGAAUAUUUGGAAGACCAUCUUAAUUGAUAACUGUUAUGAAUUGAAACUUUUUUCAAGAAUGCAUUUUGUUUUUUGCAUCUGUUUUUUUUCAUAAAUUAUAUAAUAGCAUAUACCAAAGUUCUUUGAAAAGUAUAAAGGCUGCAGAGUUUCCAUUGUUGCUAAAUGAUAAUGAGCCCAAUGAAAAUCCAUGAGGAUGCAGGUUCAAUCCCUGGCCUUGCUCAGUGGGUUAACGAUCUGGUGCUGCUGUAGUGUAGGUUGCAGAUGCAGCUCAAAUCCAGUGUUACUGUGGCUGUGGCAUAGGCCAGCAGCUGUAGCUAUGAUUUGACCCCUAACCUGGGAACUUCCAUAUGUCACUGGUGUGGCCUUAAAAAAAAAAGUAGAAUGCUUAAUGUAUGUAUCAUUUAAAUCAAUGGCCUACUUGCCCGUAGGUAAUUUUGAACCACCUCAGCUCUUCUGUAUUGCCAUUGCUGAAGAAAAAAAAUAUUGUAUCAUUCUUUUCAUAGAUUAUCACAGAAUAUUGUGUAGAGAAUCUGAAAGAGAAUGGAUGUGUGUACAUGUAUAACUGAAUCAAUUUAUUGUACAGCAGAAGAUAUCACCACAUGUACGUCAACUGUACUUCAAUAAAACUUUUAAAAAUGAAACAUUCUGCUACUUUGCUGAAUUUGUUGAUCAGUUCAAUUAGUUUACCUUUCCACAGAAAAGAAAAUCAUGGACUUGGAGAAUAGACUGUGGUUGCCCAGGGGGAGGUGGAGGGAAUGGGAUGGAUUGGGAGCUUGGGGUUAAUGCAAACUAUUGCUUUUGGAAUGGAUUAACAGUGAGAUCCUGCUGUGUAGUGCUGAGAACUAUGUCUAGUUACUUACGACAGAGCAUGCUAAUGGGAGAAAAAAGUAUGUGUACAUGUAUGUGUAACUGGGUCCCCCUGCUGUACAGUGGAAAAAUAAAUUGUGUUGGAGAAAUAAUAAUAAAAAAAAAUGAAACAAAC
rnacentral:lncRNA from 1 species